UUUAUUAUCUAAUUUUGUUCUUACCUUUAUCACCUUUUCAUAUUCUUGCCAUAUUUUAUUAGACCACUAAAAAUCGUUCUUUUAUCAUCUUAUCAUAUAGGACAGUAUCUUGUAUUGUAAAUGUUUUCCUUUCAUCAAAACCACCAAUUGGUGUUUAGAUGCACCUACAAUAAUAAGAUCUCUAAUUUUAAAUGUGCCUUCGUUCUAGAAAAGCAAAGUUUUAUUCAACCACUAACAUGCAAACAACAUAUGUUUCAGCUUCUUUUAUCAUGGCUCGAAUAACAUCUGCUAUGCUAAGGUUCACCCACUUGGAUAAGGAAACUUUUGUAAGUACAUAUAAAUACUUUUCGGUAUUGCGCCAACAUAAUAUCCUAUUUGUUAUUAAUGGCAAAAUAUUUUAUAGCCUCUACCCCAUGAGAUUGUAGGCAGCUGCAAUGGACACCAUGGAAAACAUUUAACCUUAGUUACACGCCAUAACACACCAGUAAAUGCCAAGCUGGAAAAAAGAGGCCAGUCAUUCUAUAUCUGCAAAGGCUGGAAAAAAUUUGUUGAGCUUACUGGCUUACGUGUUGGACAAUGUGUUAGAUUCAGCGUUGCCAUGACUGCAUAUUUGACAAACAUGGAGCAACCAAGCUUCCCAUGACUGCUUCAUCAAAAGGACACCUCAAGUUCAAGGCAAAAAGGUCUAUACACCAAAACAGCAAAGGCCAUUCAUCUAAUACUGAUCCAGAAUCAUCAUGUGCUAUCAAUCACAGGGUCAACAAAUCAGGUCAACUCAGUAUCCAUGUCUUUACUUUAAAUUACGUUUCUCUUUUAAUCCUAAUCAAAUUUGGCCACGUACAAAUAACGUCAGGCCACGCAGCAACACCAUGACUUAACCGUACAGGACAAUCUACGCUACCACUGCUGCAAUUAAAUUGCACCUGUAAUUACACAACUCUAAUUCUACGCCUGUGUAUGCAUGUAUGCUCCACCUUCAAUUCAAUUAAAUAGCUAUCUUUUGAAUGAAACAAAUAAUAUUUUAUUAAGAGUAAAGUAUACGGGCGGUCCUUAAACUUGUAAAGGUAUGUCAUCUAGGUCCCUAAACUCUUAAAAUGCAUAUCCAAGUCCCAGAACUUGUCAUAGUGUGUCAUCUAGGUUCCAAAAUCGCCACAACCUCUUCAGAAUCCUACGUGGCAUUGAUGUGACAUGCUACACGGACAUGACAUGACAUUAUUUUGACUGACAAAUGGAACCCAUUUAAUUUUUUCCUUUUUU